GAAGGGGCUUUUGCUUCCCAGGGCCAGCCAUGACCUUCUUCCAAUUUUAUAAACAGACUAAAAGACAAAAAACAAAAACCCCAACUCUCCAGACUUAGAUCUCUGGGAAAACAGAAGUAAAUACUGACACAGGGUUGCUUUGUUUUCCCAAGAGAGGUCUCUCAGGCGAUUUCUCUAAUUAUCUAGAAAAAAAUUUUUAACUUGUUUUCCCUUUGGAGUUCGGCCGAGCUGAGGAGAAAACUGCAGUACUGUCUUAGAUUCUCCAGCUUUGGUUUGGAAGCAGUAUUCGUCCCUGAGGGACUCCCUCCAAGGUCUCUGAGCAAGGUGUCUCUAAGGAUUUGUACCCAGCAACGAGGAGGGAGCUUAAAAGUAGGAGACACAGGAGCUCUGCAAAGGGCCUAUUUUAAAAAGAAAGAAAGGCGGGGGGCAGGAGGUCUAGUCGACCUUUUUAGGAUAACUCCGAGGGAAAACUAAUCGAGAGGAAAGUCGCGCCUUCGCCUCUGGUUAGAAUCUCCGGAUCAGAAGACAGCCGAGCGCAACGCACAAGGAUGGAUAGUGGUAGCGCGCUCUCACGCCGGCAUCUCUUGGCACUUAAUUCCGCCCGGCUCUCAGAGGGGCGGAUGCAGCUACAGCCGAGCACUCCUCCUAACCAAUAAGAAGCCAGAACUCCCCGCCCGUCUCUGAUUUAGACCAAUCAGGAUCCAGGACUUUAGCUUGCGACCGGCGUCUCUGUUGUCUGAGAAGGAAAGCCGACCCCUAGGAGUUGCCAGUAACGGGCAUGGCUGCAGUCCUUGGAGGAGGGGAUGUGAAGUGAGGAGGGGGCAGGGAGGGGAGAGGACGCAGGCGAAGAAGGACACCCCGGGCCCUGAUACUCACACCUACCCUCGGCCCUGGCUUGGCCCCUUGGGGGUCCUGCGUCAGACAUCGAAGCCUCCCGCCAACAAAGACUCCCUGCCCCAGGAUUGCUGUGGCUGGGCCCUGGCCCAGAGGGCUUCCGACGCUGGUGUCCAGUGUAUUUAUAGAUCUCCGGGAGUCCCCAUCCUGGCCCCAGUUCCGACGGUUGUUCCCCCUGCGCGCGCUCUCCUCUGCCGCCCGGGCCCUUGUGCUGAUCGUGUCCCCUGUGUCCAGGUGGAUGGAGCCGGAGGGGCUUUUCAACCCUCAGCAGUUUGGAGCGUGCCCUGCCUUUUUUUACGCCCUCUUCCGCCUUUCCAGAAUGUUUAAAGACUCAUUCGAAGCAACCGGGGGAAUAUUGUUUGCCACCCCAUAAACUGAUCUCUGUGCGGUGCUCUGUUCCUCUGCUGCUCACCGCUGAAGUCCUGUUCUUAGAAUCCCUCGCGAGCGGUGGUACGAGUCCCUGCCAAUGCCAGCAGCGAGGGAAACCCUGCUCUUUCAUUGGUGUGUGACCACGGGCUGCUUUGGCGCGGGCAUGGGUUUGGUCACGUGUUGCUACAUCCCACCCUCUUUUUCGUGUGUGGCUCUUGGGGAAAAGUAAGAGGGAGCUCUGCCUUGAAUCUGUUUUCCUUCUACUAUGUGAUUUUUGUGCCAGGGGGACGAUGAUCAUUUUCUCAUGCUUUAUCCAAGGCACUCGUUUCAGCGGCGGUGACAGUUCAGUUGACCCUGCAUAGUCUUAGAAGAUGGGCAUCGGGAGGGAAUUUUAACAUUUUCUCUGUUACAGAUGUGGAACCUAAUAACUGUUGGGAGAGUUACAAAGGGCCAGGGCCACCAGGGGCCAGGACUGGAAUUCUGAAGUUCAGAAUUCUUGAGUUCUUUAUCCGCCAGAGCUGGUUGUUUCCUUGGUGGAAUUUAAGACAAUCAAGUUCCCUGACUUCUCUCAGCUUCUUACAGGGUGGCUGUGAGCGUUAAAAUGAGGUGGUACAGG
rnacentral:lncRNA from 1 species